rnacentral:rRNA from 1 species
GUGGAUUAGAUACCCUAGUAGUCCACGCCGUAAACGUUGGGCGCUAGGUGUGGGGGCCAUUCCACGGUCUCCGUGCCGCAGCUAACGCAUUAAGCGCCCCGCCUGGGGAGUACGGCCGCAAGGCUAAAACUCAAAGGAAUUGACGGGGGCCCGCACAAGCGGCGGAGCAUGUUGCUUAAUUCGAUGCAACGCGAAGAACCUUACCUAGGCUUGACAUGUGCGGAAAUCCUCCAGAGAUGGUGGGUCCGUAAGGGUCGCACACAGGUGGUGCAUGGCCGUCGUCUACA